GACGAACGCUGGCGGCGUGCCUAACACAUGCAAGUCGAGCGGGAACCUCAGGAGGGGUAACCCUUCUGAGGGGAGAGCGGCGAACGGGUGAGUAACACGUGGGCAACCUGCCCCGGACACCGGGAUAACCCAGGGAAACCUGAGCUAAUACCGGAUACUGCGGCGCGAUCGCAUGGUCGUGCCGGGAAAGCUCCGACGGUCCGGGAUGGGCCCGCGGCCUAUCAGCUUGUUGGUGGGGUAACGGCCCACCAAGGCGACGACGGGUAGCUGGUCUGAGAGGACGGCCAGCCACACUGGGACUGAGACACGGCCCAGACUCCUACGGGAGGCAGCAGUGGGGGAUCUUGCGCUAAUGCGCGAAAGCGUGACGCAGCGACGCCGCGUGGGGA
rnacentral:rRNA from 1 species